rnacentral:rRNA from 1 species
GAACCCGAUCCCAUCUCGAACUCGGCCGUUAAACACACCAGCGCCCAUGGUACUGUGUCUCAAGACACGGGAGAGUCGGUCGCCGCCAGGCCUGC